GCCGAUCUGGUGGAAUGGCAGACACAGCAGGCUCAGAACCUGCCGCCCGUUAAGGGCGUCCCGGUUCAAGUCCGGGGAUCGGCACCA
rnacentral:tRNA from 1 species